GCCGGGGUAGCUCAGCCUGGUUAGAGCGCCCGGCUGUUAACCGGGAGACGAGGCCGGGGGCACCCCGGCCCGACC
rnacentral:tRNA from 1 species